AUGAAACUUUUCCUCCCACAGAUCUGGUACAAUGAGAGACAAGUGUUAGAUCGGAUGGAUGGAGAAUCAGGCAUUGUGCUGCCCAGUCCUGGAAUUAAACCCCAGCUUGAGAGGCGGGUGCCAUCCUUCCCCAUGACAACUGCAGCUCAAGAAGCUUCCUGACUUGUCCCGGAUCAUCCAGCCAAGAGGCAGUUGGGACUCCAAAGUCUGGACCAAUACAGCAGGCAACACCAAUACUUGUGGAAAUACUACAGGGAGCCCUGGAGCUCGGAGGGAAGUGCCCAGUAUAAUCGGAAAUGCAUGGCUCAGUCACACUGGGUGAUGGGCACUGAGGGGGGCACUUGGCGGGAUGAGCACUGGGUGUUAUGCUAUAUGUUGGCAAAUUGAACUCCAAUAAAAAAAAUUAAAAAUAAAUAAAUAAAUAAAUAAGUACAUAUCUGCUGAACUACAUACAUUUACAAUUAGUGUCCUUUUUAUACUCAUGUAUGUUGUGUCUCAAUCAAAAUGUUAGCAAAUAAAAUAUAUUAUUAUCUCUGGAA
rnacentral:lncRNA from 1 species